rnacentral:rRNA from 1 species
GGAUUGGCGUGUCGGUCGUGCCUUACGGGGUAUGAACUGGCGUCGUCGAUUUCUCACCUUCUGGAGAAUCACGAUGCCCUUAAUUGGGUGUCGUGUGGAACCAGGACCUUUACCUUGAAAAAAUUAGAGUGUUUAAAGCAGGCAUUUUGCUCGAAUACAUUAGCAUGGAAUAAUAAAAUAGGACGGCUUGGUUCUAUUUUGUUGGUUUCUAGGAUCACCGUAAUGAUUAAUAGGGAUAGUUGGG